rnacentral:rRNA from 1 species
GAUGAACGCUGGCGGCGUGCCUAAUACAUGCAAGUCGAGCGAAUGGAUUAAGAGCUUACUCUUAUGAAGUUAGCGGCGGACGGGUGAGUAACACGUGGGUAACCUGCCCAUAAGACUGGGAUAACUACGGGAAACCGGGGCUAAUACCGGAUAACAUUUUGAACCGCAUGGUUCGAAAUUGAAAGGCGUCUCCGGCUGUCACUUAUGGAUGGACCCGCGUCGCAUUAGCUAGUUGGUGAGGUAACGGCUCACCAAGGCAACGAUGCGUAGCCGACCUGAGAGGGUGAUCGGCCACACUGGGACUGAGACACGGCCCAGACUCCUACGGGAGGCAGCAGUAGGGAAUCUUCCGCAAUGGACGAAAGUCUGACGGAGCAACGCCGCGUGAGUGAUGAAGGCUUUCGGGUCGUAAAACUCUGUUGUUAGGGAAGAACAAGUGCUAGUUGAAUAAACUGGCACCUUGACGGUACCUAACCAGAAAGCCACGGCUAACUACGUGCCAGCCGCCGCGGUAA